rnacentral:rRNA from 1 species
GCAAGGUGCUGCAUGGUUGUCGUCAGCUCGUGCCGUGAGGUGUCGGGUUAAGUCCCAUAACGAGCGCAACCCCUAUGUUAGUUGCCAUCAGGUCAUGCUGGGGACUCUAACAAAACUGCCCGCGUAAGCGUGGAGGAAGGUGGGGAUGACGUCAAAUCAGCACGGCCCUUACGUCCAGGGCUACACACGUGCUACAAUGGCCGGUACAGAGGGCAGCCACUUGGUGACAAGGAGCAAAUCUCAAAAGCCGGUCUCAGUUCGGAUCGGAGUCUGCAACUCGACUCCGUGAAGUUGGAUUCGCUAGUAAUCGUAGAUCAGCAAUGCUACGGUGAAUACGUUCCCGGGCCUU